GUCUAAGUAGCUCAAAUGGGAGAGCAUGUAAUGGUCCACUCUGUGUUCGGCGUAAGAAGGGCUUAUGAGUGCGGAAGUGGUUGAAGGUUCGAAUCCUUUCUUAGACG
rnacentral:tRNA from 1 species